UACGAAGGGGGCUAGCGUUGCUCGGAAUCACUGGGCGUAAAGCGCACGUAGGCGGCUUUUUAAGUCAGGGGUGAAAUCCUGGAGCUCAACUCCAAAACUGCCUUUGAUACUGAGAAGCUUGAGUCCGGGAGAGGUGAGUGGAACUGCGAGUGUAGAGGUGAAAUUCGUAGAUAUUCGCAAGAACACCAGUGGCGAAGGCGGCUCACUGGCCCGGUACUGACGCUGAGGUGCGAAAGCGUGGGGAGCAACAGG
rnacentral:rRNA from 1 species